UGCGGGGUAGAGCAGUGGUAGCUCGUCGGGCUCAUAACCCGGAGGUCGUUGGUUCGAAUCCAGCCCCCGCUA
rnacentral:tRNA from 1 species